UACGGGAGGCAGCAGUGGGGAAUAUUGCACAAUGGGCGAAAGCCUGAUGCAGCUAUGCCGCGUGUAUGAAGAAGGCCUUAGGGUUGUAAAGUACUUUCAUCGGGGAGGAAAAAAACAAAACUAAUAAUUUUAUUUCUUGACGUUACCCGAAAAAGAAGCACCGGCUAACUCCGUGCCAGCAGCCGCGGUAAUACGGAGGGUGCUAGCGUUAAUCAGAAUUACUGGGCGUAAAGAGCACGUAGGUGGUUUUUUUAAGUCAGAUGUGAAAUCCCUGGGCUUAACCUAGGAACUGCAUUUUGAAACUGAAAUACUAGAGUAUCGUAGAGGGAGGUAGAAUUCUAGGUGUAGCGGUGAAAUGCGUAGAUAUCUGGAGGAAUACCUGUGGCGAAAGCGGCCUCCUAAACGAAUACUGACACUGAGGUGCGAAAGCGUGGGGAGCAAAACAGGGAUUAGAUACC
rnacentral:rRNA from 1 species